CGGGGCCUAAUGCUGAUAAACUCUCAUGUGAACAGAGCCAUCAAGUCCAGACAGCAAAGGCAUCAACAGCAAUACCAGCCAGAUGGAAACCACCAUACUGAUUCCAGACAAACCAAUGGACCUGUCAACUACAUCAAAACAUGAGCCAAAAUACAUUACUGAGCCCCAUAAAACAGAAGAAACAUCUGAGGACAUAGCUGAUGAGAUCGAAUACCUUUGGUCCAAAAAAGACUGUGAAUUGGUGGUUGCUGUUGUGUCAUCGGCAGAAAAGAUGAGCAGGUACACCGUCCGUCACUCAGAGUUCAAAACUCUGCAACCGCACAAGUGGCUUGUGGGAGAGGCAAGAAUAUCCAUGAGAUAUUAUUAUUUAAAAUUGGUAUGAUUUAAAUUGCCAAAGUAUACCAUAAAUAUUGUAAACAUCUGGAACGCUGUCAGUUCCCUUUACAGGACAGUAGCAUUUGCCUCAUCGAUGUCUUUACUGCUCAAGUGAUCAUGACCAGAGACAGAGAUGCAGUAUGCAGACAGAGCCUACGGAAGGUGGACUUCACAAAAUACCAAGCAAUUAUCAGUUUCCUGAAUGUGAAUGAUAACCACUGGAAGUUUUUGGUGAAAGCUUUCAAAAUACCAAUAAGUUCUUUUUCAUGGAUAUGUGGUCAAAGCUGAACUAUAAUUUGAAAUGGGUUUCUCUCUUUUGUCCAGUAUCUACAUGCAUCUUCCAGUCAGGUUUUUCUUAUUGACCCACAAGGAACUGAUGAGGAAAAGGACUCUAAGCAAGCUGCUAUCAGAUUUUGGUAAAAAACAAUGCUAAAAUUACUCGAAUUAUUUCCAAUUACUUUAACUGUAUUUACCCCUAACUGUUUCAUAUAUUUAUCAAAGUGAAUACUUCAAAAUGAGGUUUGGCAAAAAAGAGUGUGUGGAGAUUGAGUGGAGAGAUCCACAAUUAAACACACAAUCCAGCAGGAUUCAUACAGCUGUGGUGUAUUUGUUAUGCAGAUUGAAUGUCAUGCGUGCAAACACUGGUUUCAUGUGAAAUGCCUAAACAUGAAACCUCACGAAUUUGAGAAGGCAAAAAAUACUAACUGGGCUUGCAAUUUUUGCUUUUUUUUUUUUUUCCCAACAUUUUUUGCUUUUCCUUGGUUACUUUCUUUUCAACUUGUAACAACUAAAAAAGAUUGAAAGUUUUAUGUGUCUGAAUCUUUUAUCCACAUCCAUGACAUCUACAGUAGUCAACAUUUGAAGUGGAUCAAAACCUUUCAUCAAAGUUGUCCUAAAAACCUUCUUGGACUACUUAGUUCUUAGGACAACUUUGAUUAACUUUUUUGAUCCACUUCAAAUGUUGACUACUGUAUAUGUUCCAAAUUAUCAUGCAAGUAUAUCAGUAUUUCAGCAAAACAUUUUAUUUCAGUCACAUUUCUCAGGCAAUAAUGGAAGGAAGAAAGAUUUUCCUGAAGAUGAAAAGCAUUAAAGAGUACAAUGUCUUGCAAAAGGAAUGACAGUGCCUUUUUAUAGCUGCAUGCCCUUUUAAUGCAAUUAAUGUUUGACAGAAAUUUUCCUUAGCAAGACAUUUCUGACAGUUCUUCUGUGCUCCAAGUCAAACACAAAUCUUUUGACAGUAAUAAUCUCUGUUCUAGGGAUGCUCAUAUUGACCUUUUAACCGUUAGUAAGAAUUUUGACUGAUUAAUGAUUAAUACUAUCAGUUAAGCGGUUUAAAGGGAAAUUUUAUUUUUUUCAAACAUUUCUUAAAGUUUUCUGCAUAGUUAAAGAAUAAUGAGCUAUAAACAACAACAUAGGCUAAUUAAAAACUGAACGCGUCUGCUCAAUUCAGCCGACUGAAAGUCGCAGCACAGAUCAGCAACAGGAGUUAGAGUUGAUUCAUGAUUUGUUUUUUUUUAAGCGAAAUGUAAAGGCGCCUAUUUGCAACCCAGUCUCACGGCAGUUCGUGACAUAGUCACGAAAUUUAAUCUAUUGGUUCGUGUUCGUGGACACGAAUUUCCCUUUUUUUCCAUGUCACUCAGCACGACUUUCGAUCUAAUGUAUUUCAAUAGGAAGCAUCUUUCGUGUCUGCACCACGUUUUCUUUCUGCCACUAAGAAGCAUUUUUUCUCAUUUGUUAUUCAUUUUUAAACUUUAAGCACUACAUUAAUCAACAUUUAACUAGGAGAUUUGAUCCUUGAGUUUAUUGCUUUAUAUUCUGUAGGGUACUAACCAUUGUGCUACGGUUUCUUUUCUGAGAAAUGCCGUUUUUCAAUCUAUUUGGUGUGUCAAAUCGGACAGUAAACUAAAUAUUACAGUACCCAUGAGCCUUAUCUACUUUUACUAUGUUGAAGACGUCAGCUAAAACUACCUGAUGACCCACUGCCGAUUCUCUUUUAAUGAUAUCCUCAUCUUUCUUUCAACACAUAAACACGAAAGUGUGCUUGAUAAUUCAACAAUACGAUGACCAUCAGUUUUAUUUGAUUCUCCUUCUAUUGUGAGAACGGGGGGUUUAGUUGUGGUUAUUAAUUAAAUUAAAAUAAAAUAAAAAAUAAAUUAAUUAGUUGAUGCCCGCAUUACCCGUGAGCCUCAGCAUCCGUUGCUAUGGAGACGAAGCCAGUCCACUUCGCGAUUGGGUGAUUUCUGCAGGCCGCGAAUUCUCCGUCAUUGCGCUCGAACCACUUUCCAGGUAAGCCACGAGACUUGAAUGUAAUGAUCAAAUUUGUUUAAAUGUUGUAAUUGAUGCUUUUCUUUGCCAUUAGACUCACAUGGUUUACAUGUUAGAGCAUGAAUUAAAGGCCGACCAUUGGUUUCCAUAUUAACAGUAAAAAAAGAAGACACACCUUUUGUGCAGUCAUACAGAAAAUGGGAAAAACGUGAAUUUUAUUUUGUAUUUUUAAGAAAAUUGGUAUCUCUCACUAUCGGGGUACACAUUUUAAAACUUUUUUCAUCAUAUCUAGCCUUCACUACAUAAUGAACAAUUUCUGUUCUCCUGCAGAUCCUGUCAAACUUCACCUUCACCCUAUAGAUACACCUGAUUCCCAAAACCCAAAGGCACUUUUAAGAGCCAACCUCUAUCUAUCUUCAUCAUUUUCUAUCUCUGUCCAUCUAUCUCACCAUCUAUAUUUCUAUCCAUCUCUUCAAUCUCUAUCUGUCAUCUAUCUCAAUUUCUCUAUUUCUCAAUAUCUUUCCUCUCUUUCUGUCUUUGUCAGUCAGUCUGUCUGUCUGUCUCUGUCUGUGUUGCAGUGGCCACCAGACAUAUCCUUGACUCACAGGACCAAGAGGGGAGACGCAUGGCUCUUGAACUGAAACAUGACCACGUUCUAGCUGAAGCCAGGGUUAGAGUUUUUAUCUUUACCUCAAUCAUUUUAAUCUUGAACAUACAGAUGAGGGACAAAUUGAAGUAAAAACAUAAUGAAUGUAGAAGGAUGAGUGUAUUAGAUUUCAGACAGGUACACUCCCGUUCAAAAGUUUGGGAUCACUAAGAUUUUUAAUGUUUUUAAAAGAAGUUUCGUCUGCUCACCA